rnacentral:misc_RNA from 1 species
GAUGAAGAACGCAGCGAAAUGCGAUAAGUAAUGUGAAUUGCAGAAUUCAGUGAAUCAUCGAAUCUUUGAACGCACAUUGCGCCCCCUGGUAUUCCGGGGGGCAUGCCUGUCCGAGCGUCAUUGCUGCCCUCAAGCACGGCUUGUGUGUUGGGCCCCGCCCCCCGGCUCCCGGGGGGCGGGCCCGAAAGGCAGCGGCGGCACCGCGUCCGGUCCUCGAGCGUAUGGGGCUUCGUCACCCGCUCCGUAGGCCCGGCCGGCGCCCGCCGGCGACCCCCCUCAAUCUUUUCAGGUUGACCUCGGAUCAGGUAGGGAUACCCGCUGAACUUAAGCAUAUCAAUAAGCGGAGGA